UACGUAGGCAGCGAGCGUUGUUCGGAGUUACUGGGCGUAAAGCGUGCGUAGGCGGUGGCCUAAGUCUGGUGUGAAAUCUCCCGGCUCAACCGGGAGGGUGCGCCGGAAACUGGGCUGCUGGAGUACGGGAGAGGCAAGCGGAAUUCCUGGUGUAGCGGUGAAAUGCGUAGAUAUCAGGAGGAACACCCGUGGUGCAGACGGCUUGCUGGACCGUGACUGACGCUGAGGCACGAAAGCGUGGGUAGCAAACAGG
rnacentral:rRNA from 1 species